AACGAACGCUGGCGGCAGGCCUAACGCAUGCAAGUCGAACGCCCUAGCAAUAGGGAGUGGCAGACGGGUGAGUAACGCGUGGGAAUAUCCCCCUCAGUACGGAAUAGCCCAGGGAAACUUGGAGUAAUACCGUAUACGUCCGUGAGGAGAAAGAUUUAUCGCUGAGGGAUUAGCCCGCGUCGGAUUAGCUAGUUGGUGAGGUAACGGCUCACCAAGGCGACGAUCCGUAGCUGGUUUGAGAGAAUGACCAGCCACACUGGGACUGAGACACGGCCCAGACUCCUACGGGAGGCAGCAGUGGGGAAUCUUGGACAAUGGGCGCAAGCCUGAUCCAGCCAUGCCGCGUGAGUGACGAAGGCCUUAGGGUUGUAAAGCUCUUUUGCCGGGGACGAUAAUGACGGUACCCGGAGAAUAAGUCCCGGCUAACUUCGUGCCAGCCGCCGCCGUAA
rnacentral:rRNA from 1 species